GAUGAACGCUGGCGGCGUGCCUAAUACAUGCAAGUCGAGCGAACGGACGAGAAGCUUGCUUCUCUGAUGUUAGCGGCGGACGGGUGAGUAACACGUGGAUAACCUACCUAUAAGACUGGGAUAACUUCGGGAAACCGGAGCUAAUACCGGAUGAUAUUUUGAACCGCAUGGUUCAAAAGUGAAAGACGGUCUUGCUGUCACUUAUAGAUGGAUCCGCGCUGCAUUAGCUAGUUGGUAAGGUAACGGCUUACCAAGGCAACGAUGCAUAGCCGACCUGAGAGGGUGAUCGGCCACACUGGAACUGAGACACGGUCCAGACUCCUACGGGAGGCAGUAGUAGGGAAUCUUCCGCAAUGGGCGAAAGCCUGACGGAGCAACGCCGCGUGAGUGAUGAAGGUCUUCGAAUCGUAAAACUCUGUCAUUAGGGAAGAACAUAUGUGUAAGUAACUGUGCACAUCUUGACGGUACCUAAUCAGAAAGCCACGGCUAACUACGUG
rnacentral:rRNA from 1 species